AGAGUUUGAUCCUGGCUCAGGAUGAACGCUGGCGGUGUGCCUAACACAUGCAAGUCGAACGGACUUAUAACGAAACCUAGUGAAUUAUAAGUUAGUGGCGGACGGGUGAGUAACGCGUGGAAAACCUGCCGUAUACUGGGGGAUAACACUUAGAAAUAGGUGCUAAUACCGCAUAAGCGCACAGCUUCGCAUGAAGCAGUGUGAAAAACUCCGGUGGUAUACGAUGGUUCCGCGUCUGAUUAGCUAGUUGGUGAGGUAAAAGCCCACCAAGGCAACGAUCAGUAGCCGGCCUGAGAGGGUGAACGGCCACAUUGGGACUGAGACACGGCCCAGACUCCUACGGGAGGCAGCAGUGGGGGAUAUUGCACAAUGGGGGAAACCCUGAUGCAGCGACGCCGCGUGAGUGAAGAAGUAUUUCGGUACGUAAAGCUCUAUCAGCAGGGAAGAAAAAAAAGUCCACAGGACUUUGGACGGUACCUGACUAAGAAGCCCCGGCUAACUACGUG
rnacentral:rRNA from 1 species